rnacentral:rRNA from 1 species
GGGCGCAAGCCUGAUCCAGCCAUGCCGCGUGUGUGAAGAAGGCCCUCGGGUUGUAAAGCACUUUCAGUGGGGAAGAAAGCCUUGCGGUUAAUACCCGCAAGGAAGGACAUCACCCACAGAAGAAGCACCGGCUAACUCCGUGCCAGCAGCCGCGGUAAUACGGAGGGUGCGAGCGUUAAUCGGAAUUACUGGGCGUAAAGCGCGCGUAGGUGGCUUGAUAAGCCGGUUGUGAAAGCCCCGGGCUCAACCUGGGAACGGCAUCCGGAACUGUCAGGCUAGAGUGCAGGAGAGGAAGGUAGAAUUCCCGGUGUAGCGGUGAAAUGCGUAGAGAUCGGGAGGAAUACCAGUGGCGAAGGCGGCCUUCUGGACUGACACUGACACUGAGGUGCGAAAGCGUGGGUAGCAAACAGGAUUAGAUACCCUGGUAGUCCACGCCGUAAACGAUGUCGACUAGCCGUUGGGUCCUUCGCGGACUUUGUGGCGCAGUUAACGCGAUAAGUCGACCGCCU